rnacentral:rRNA from 1 species
UACGUAGGGUGCGAGCGUUAAUCGGAAUUACUGGGCGUAAAGCGUGCGCAGGCGGCUUUUUAAGCCAGACGUGAAAUCCCCGGGCUUAACCUGGGAAUGGCGUUUGGAACUGGAAGGCUAGAGUGUGUCAGAGGGGGGUAGAAUUCCACGUGUAGCAGUGAAAUGCGUAGAGAUGUGGAGGAAUACCGAUGGCGAAGGCAGCCCCCUGGGAUAACACUGACGCUCAUGUACGAAAGCGUGGGUAGCAAACAGG